AGUGAACGCUGGCGGUAGGCCUAACACAUGCAAGUCGAACGGCAGCACAGUAAGAGCUUGCUCUUACGGGUGGCGAGUGGCGGACGGGUGAGGAAUACAUCGGAAUCUACUUUUUCGUGGGGAUAACGUAGGGAAACUUACGCUAAUACCGCAUACGACCUACGGGUGAAAGCAGGGGAUCUUCGGACCUUGCGCGAUUGAAUGAGCCGAUGUCGGAUUAGCUAGUUGGCGGGGUAAAGGCCCACCAAGGCGACGAUCCGUAGCUGGUCUGAGAGGAUGAUCAGCCACACUGGAACUGAGACACGGUCCAGACUCCUACGGGAGGCAGCAGUGGGGAAUAUUGGACAAUGGGCGCAAGCCUGAUCCAGCCAUACCGCGUGGGUGAGGAAGGCCUUCGGGUUGUAAAGCCCUUUUGUUGGGGAAGAAAAGCAGCAGGUUAAUACCCCGCUGUUCUGACGGUACCCAAAGAAUAAGCACCGGCUAACUUCGUG
rnacentral:rRNA from 1 species